CAGUCGCCACGGUAAUACAGAGGGUGCAAGCGUUAAUCGGAAUUACUGGGCGUAAAGCGCGCGUAGGUGGUUUGUUAAGUUGGAUGUGAAAUCCCCGGGCUCAACCUGGGAACUGCAUUCAAAACUGACUGACUAGAGUAUGGUAGAGGGUGGUGGAAUUUCCUGUGUAGCGGUGAAAUGCGUAGAUAUAGGAAGGAACACCAGUGGCGAAGGCGACCACCUGGACUAAUACUGACACUGAGGUGCGAAAGCGUGGGGAGCAAACAGGAUUAGAUACCCCGGUAGUCCCUGUCUCUUAUAC
rnacentral:rRNA from 1 species